UUUUCUCACAUCUACAGGCAGAUGAGCAGACAAGUGACAUCUGACCUCUGGGUCUGGGAUGUAGGCCACAUGACCUCUUGUCAAUAAGGCCAGAUUUCUUUACCAUCUGAGCCACCACCUCCAGAGGAGACAUCCAAUUCUCACAAGGCACUUCCAGAACUACCUCCUGCUCUACUGCUCCCAGUCCCAUGAGAAAGAAAAGAUACCUGCAGGUUUCUCCAAGAUCGGAUUUGGGCCAUCUUUCAAGGCCAGGUCAAGACCAUUCUUGAGAGCCUCACCUCGACACCAGAAAAUGGGGA